AGAUUGAACGCUGGCGGCAUGCCUAACACAUGCAAGUCGAACGGGAGUAGCAAUACUCUAGUGGCGGACGGGUGAGGAAUACGUAGGAAUUUGCCCUUAAGUGGGGGAUAACCCGGGGAACCCGGAUUAAUACCGCAUGACCUCGAAAGAGCAAAGUGGGGGAUCGCAAGACCUCACGCUUUUGGAGAAGCCUACGUCGGAUUAGCUAGUUGGUGAGGUAAUGGCUCACCAAGGCGACGAUCCGUAACUGGUCUGAGAGGAUGAUCAGUCACACCGGAACUGAGACACGGUCCGGACUCCUACGGGAGCAGCAGGUGGGGAAUAUUGGACAAGUGGGCGACAAGCCUGACUCCAGCAAGUGACCGCGUGUGUGAAGGAAGGCCUUAGGUUGUAAAGGCUAACGUUUAAGUUACGGGAAAGUAAAAAACU
rnacentral:rRNA from 1 species